ensembl:lncRNA
UUUUUUUUUUUUUUUUUUGUCUUUUGUUGUUGUUGUUGCUAUUUCUUGGGCCGCUCCCUCGGCAUUAUUGUUGUUGUUGUUGCCAUUUCUUGGGCCGCUCCCGAGGCAUAUGGAGGUUCCCAGGCUAGGGGUCGAAUCGGAGCUGUAGCCACCGGCCUACACCAGAGCCACAGCAACGCGGGAUCCGAGCCGCGUCUGCAACCUACACCACAGCUCACGGCAACGCCGGAUCGUUAAACCACUGAGCAAGGGCAGGGACCGAACCCGCAACCUCAUGGUUCCUAGUCGGAUUCGUUAACCACUGCGCCACGACGGGUACUCCAGAAAAACUAUAUUUCAAACACUUUUAUUUCACAAUUAGACACAGACUUGACUGAAACAGAAGCUCUGGCUAAAUCUGAAUGGCCAAAACCACACACUACAUUCAGUUGUUACAUAAUAGAUUAGGGAUGGAGGAGUUGUUGUACAUUUCCAUUCCUUAAUUUAAUAUUUAUUGAAUACUUAUCAUGUGCUAGGUUAUGUGCUAGAUACAAAAAAAUGCAACCCCUGACUUAAAAGGCCUCAGUCAAACAGAAGACUCAGACAUAAUAAAUGCUAUAAUAACAGUAUAUACAAGGUUCUAAAGGAGUAUUUCAGAAAGAGGUAUAGUGGAUUUAUCAGUUACUUACUACUGCAUUACAAAACACCCCAUGGAGUUCCCUGGUGGCUUAGCAGUUCAGGAUCCAGCCUUGGCACCUCUGUGGCACAGGUUCAAUAACUUCCGCAUGCCAGGGGCAUGGCCAAAAAAAACACCCUAACUUGGACUCAAAACACCAACCAUUAAUAAUUUCUCACGUGUCUAAGGAUCAGCUGAAUGAUACUGCUGAUCUCAGCUUGAUUAAGCAUUUGUAGUCAGAUGUUGGAUGGCCAGUCCUGGGUAGCCUUGGGUCGGUCUAUCUGGGUUAUGACUUGGCUCGGUUUCACAUAUCUUGUUGCAGUAGAACUCUCUGUACAUGUUCUCAGAGAAAAUGCAGAGGAUUUGGGCGGGGAGUGGUGGGUGGUGGCAGAAGCAAAAAUUGACACAUGGUUUUUUUUAAGCCUCUGUUUGAGUCAAGGUUUUACUAUCACAUUAGCCAAAGCAAGUCACAUAACAAGCCCAGUGUCAGCUUGAGAAGGAACCAUGAUGUAACAGAACAAAGGACAUAGACAGAGGGAGGCCAUUUAAUUAGUUAUUGAUGCAAUCAUUCUACCACAGGGAAGAAAGAAGAAAGGCUAUGUUGGUGACUUCAGAGGAUGAGAAGAAUAUGAAAAAGUAUAGAUAGGGAAAGCAUAUUCCAGGUGUAAGAGGAACAGAAACACACUUUCUCCUCUGUAAAGGGGAGGUUGGAAGAAAGGGAAAGCUAGGGAACAAGUGAGGAGCUGUUGCAGGUGCACAAGCAAAAAUAAGAAUAGAAAAACGAAAAAGCAAAAAAUAAGAAAAGAAGGAUUUGUGCUAAGGUGACCGCAGCAGGGAAGGCAAGAAAGGGAGGGAUUGAGAGGUAUUAUGAGAGUGGAAUCUACAAGAAUGAAUUGAUACAGGAGUUGGGCAAAAGAAGAGACUCAAACAUGAGCUGAAGUAUGUAUGAUGAGCACCUGAGCUGAUGAUAAUGCUUGUAACAGGUCAUAAAAGAGAAGCAAAUUUGGGGGCAAAGAGAAAGGAUGAGCUCUGUUUUUGUCAUAUUGAUUUAGAGGUACCUGUAACAGUAGGGAGAUCUGGUCAUCUACCAUAUAAAGAAGAAAAUUUUCAAAGAUUAAUGAGCUUGGCUGAGGGCAGUUGUGAUAAAUUGGAAAGAGCCAUGAAUAUGGAGCUGGAACUGCUGGAAUCCCAGCUCUUCUCCUUAUUAAUUGUGUAAAAAUAUGAGGAUAAAGCAGAGAAGAAAAUGUGGCAACAUAGGGGGUUACCAAUUGUUCAUUUACUGAUAUGUUUUAAAUCCUUGUCUUGCUUUUGUUCCAAUGCUGCCUCUUCCCUCAGCCUAUAUUCCCUGUUCAUUUUUAAAAACCAGCCAUGCCUACAAAAUUCUUUAGGAGAAAAAAACAAUCUGUGUAUCCAGAGGGACAUGCAUUUCACCUACAGCUUUCGUAAACAAUUGGGGAUUUUUUUUGAAUAUCAAUGAGCUCUGUUCAGAUAAGAUACUGCUGUAAUUUUUUUUUCUUUAAAACUUUAAGUUACUGUAAUUUUAAAAAUAACCUUAGCUGUUUUGCAUUUAUAUUGACUUAUUUUGGCAUUACUAUUAUUUCAUCAAGAAAAACUUGACUCAAAUAACUUUUAGAUAUGAUUUCCAAAAGAUUACUGACUUUGUAAGUGUGAUUUGAUUGGAUUUGGAUGCAAAAAGUUUUUCAGUGAAACAUGUACAAUUUUAUGUUGAAAGUGUAUGGGAAAGCAGAAAGUCAUUAUAACAAAACUGACACCACAGACCACCUUCAGCAGUACACCUACUGCAAAAAUUCAGAUUAACUUCAGAGUGAAGUUAAUCUGAAUUAAGCACAGAAUUAGUAAGAGGUCUUUGGAAUAACCAAGUCUAGUCAAGCCAAUAAUAUUCCUGGAUGGGACUGAAUUUAACCUCAAUUUGAAGAAGCAGAGAGAUGUAGGUUGAAUGAGAGAAAAGACAGUGUAGAACUGGCAAGGAAAAUGGUCCACUGUGCACUGUAUAAUCAGCAAGUAUUCGCAACUGGGCUAAAGAAUUGAGCAGUGUGCAGAAUCCUGAGACCAUUGAAAGCUCGCUGAACUACAUGUGAAGAUCAGACUCAUUUCCUUGGCCUUUAUGGCCUUCCUAGACCUGCCCCAUUCCCCUCCAAGCUUCUCUGCUCCAGCUAGAUGGGUCCACCUCAGUAUCCUAGCAGCCUGCCAUACUUCAGAACUAUCCACCUAGAUUAAGAGAAUGCUUCUCAGCCCUGGCUAUACCAGUGUCACUUGUGAAGUUUUGUCAGCCUUGCUGUAUGUUUUCAAUACAUCUGUCCUUCCUCUCCAAAAGAGAAAGGACAGAUAUAUUAAAUUCCUUGGCAUCAGAGUCUAGGUCUAAUGCAAGUUUGUGGAGACAAUGGUGAAGAAAGUCAACAUUUGUUUUGAGGGUGAUUUUAAUGAGUCUUAUAAUGAUUGACACCUCCCUAAAGAAACAUGAUACCUAGGUCACAAAGAAAAACAUGAACUUGUCCUCCUAGUGGCAGAUUAAUGACUUUUUGAAAACUGCCGUCUUCAAGAGGCUGCAACAAGUAUCAUAGCAAGAGGCUACUGAAAAAUAAAAGUCAGAGAUUCUCCCUAAUCUUUCAUCCAGCAUCCUGCAGAUAGUCUGCUUGCUCUGUAAGUUACUACCUUCACAAAAGGGACUUUAGGCUUCUUUUAUACUCCCUUUUAAAGGGUCUAGUAAGAGAACAGCCUUGUGAGGAGGGCAAAACAGCCCAACUUUGGUUGCUAAAUAGUCUGUGUGUCGGUGCUAGCUGUUUACAGUAGUUAGCAACACAAGCUGCAAAGGUGAAUGCAAGGACAGCUCCUCCUGCUGGAGAGAGGGUACUGUUGAAGGUCCCCCACUCCACCCUCAGGUUCGCUGAUUCCUAGAAAGAUUCACGAAGCUCAGAAAAGCUCUAUAUUCACUGUCAUGGUUAACUACCGAGGAAGGAUACAGAUUAAAAUCAGCAGAGAGGUCAGGUACAAGCUUCCAGCUAUCCUUUUGCAAUGGAGUCAUAUGGACAGCAUAUAAUUCUCCCAGAAACAAUGCAUGACAACUCAUAAGAGUAUUGCCCACCAGGGGGAUUCACUGAGCCUUAGGGUCCAAGACUUUAUUCGGGGUCAGCUAUGUAGGCAUGGAGCAUCCUCGUGGCCCACAUUUGUUUCUCAGCCUCCAGGACCUCCAGAGGUCAAACUGAUAGCACGUGGCCCCACCAUAAAUCACACUGUUAGUGUAAACCAUCUGGUGCCAUUGUUUACCAAGGCCACAGGUAAACAACGGCACUCUUGUAAAGGAUCCUAUUCCAAGGUCGCAGAGGUUAUCUCUCAGGACCCGGUUGAGGGCUAUAUCUUUCUUCGAAAGGUACAGGGUUUGAACAUUCCAGGUCUGCUAAGUCAAACCUUUGUAGCACCGAAGGGGAAUCAUUCAGGGUGUACCCUCAGGGCUGUCCACCGGAAAACCCUGCUUGUCUUUCCAUGAAGGUUAAGAAGCACUGCUCUAGGACCCCACACUCCUUUUUCUUACAAUGCAGGCCCAAACUGAUGUCCAACCAUACUUAUCUUUGAGGUCUCGAUUUGAUGUCUAUAGAGCACAGUACUUUGCAAUCUCACAUAUAAGAGAAGAGCAUAAUGUACAUGCUAAAAAACAAAAAUGAAAACAAAAGUCUUUCAGAAUUUUCUAUGCUAAUUAACCUUCUGCUAAACAUUUUGAAAAGUCAAGAAAUAGUCUUUAGCCUUGAAAUAGUCUCUGGGUUUUCAGUAUUUUCUUUCCUUCUUUCAUACUUGGCUAUCAGAUAUUUUUCAAAUAUAUAUAUAUUUUGUCUUUUUGCCAUUUCUUGCGCCGCUCCCGCAGCAUAUGGAGGUUCCCAGGCCAGGGGUUGAAUCGGAGCUGUAGCCACGGCCUACGCCAGAGCCACAGCAACGCGGGAUCCGAGCCGCGUCUGCAACCUACACCACAGCUCACGGCAACGCUGGAUCGUCAAUCCACUGAGCAAGGGCAGGGACUGAACUCACAAUCUCAUGGUUCCUAGUCGGAUUUGUUAACCACUGCGCCAUGAUGGGAACUCCUCAAAUAUAUAUUUUAUAGAAAAAUCCAGUAUUGAAGUUUUGAGAGGCCUCAAGAGCAAGUCAAAACAUCUUAAUACAGUUCUCCUAAAGAGAGACUAAUAUAAUGUAUACAAGACAAUCCUCUCGCUCAGAUUAUUCCCGUCUCUUAUUUUUUUAAUACAAAACUCUGAAGACCUUUAUCUUUUUGCUGCCUACUUGCAAAUUAAAUCUGUGCUCUUUGAUCCAUGUUGAUUUCUUUGUGUCUGUGUUUAAUACUUUCACCAAAGGGCAACGGCAGCUUCUAUAUAUGUGAAGAAUCUUCUCUUUUUAUGAGUUGAGAGGAGAACAAUCUGCAACACUAAGAGAACUGAACAAAGAUCAGAAGUUUGCAUUGAACCUGAGACUCUCCCACACUGUACCCAGGCCCGUGCCAAAUUUGUACAGGUGUACACCACAUGAGCAGAUGAACAAAUGUGAUUACAAGAGCUCUCCGGAUGCGCCUGAGCCUGGAACGCAUCUCUCCCAAAGUGGACUUGUGCAUCUGUUAUGAACUCGAAGUAUUUGUUUACUUGCCAGCAAAAAGCUACUUCAACUGCUAAACCUGCAUUCUAUCAGGUCUUAUGGUUUUCAAAUGAAAGAAAGAAAAAAGAAAUGAUAAGAUGGCAUGACAGGGGUGUCAUGGUGUGCUCAGUGUGAAGGGAGUACAGAGCCAAGAGAAGAGGCACAAGAUUUGAGGUGCCGCAAUGGUCAAAAUAUCAUGGUGAUUCGUUGCCAUUCUUUUGUGCUAGGAACGCAUUGUUAUUUGGGAGGGAUGCUGAAUUGUAAAAGGUUAUUUAAUGUGUCUUUUAAAUAAGGUUUGUGGAGGGCAAAACAACUAUAGAAAAUUUGGAAAAGAAAUAUGGGAAGGAAGUUCUCCACUCCAGACUCUGGAUAUUCUUAAAGAUAUUCUCAAAGAUAGUCUCUUUAUCUGACUUACUUCACUUAGUAGGAGAGUCUCUAGUGCUAUACAGUAGAAAAUUGACAGAACACUGUAAACCAGCUAUAAUGGAAAAAAAUUAAAACCAUUAUAAAAAUUUAAAAAGAUAGUCUUUUUAUAUAUUAAUCUUUCUUCUCAGUAACACCUAUGCCAUGCAUUCUUGCUCCCUUCCCUUUGCUAUCUCCCAAAUCUGAUCUUUUUUUAAAUAAACUUCUUCAAUUUUUUUAUUCAUUUCAUAAAUGGAUUUUAGUGCCCAAUUACUCCCUGACCCCAUGGAGCUUAAAUUCAAGUGGGGUAAAACAGAUCAUUAACGUAAUGUAAAUGCAAAUUAAGUAUGUUAAAAGGUGCUGAGAGCUAUAGAAAAAGAAAAAAAACAAGUGAUGGAGAUGUGAAAGUGCCAGAGGGCUGAACCAAAACUUUCUGGUGUUCUUUCUGUUUUCCUCAUACUUCUCAGCUGUUCUGGUACACUGAUUCCGCUUGAUUUGUUGCUAGGAGAAAACAAAUUCUUUUCCUUUCUUCCUUGCUUUCUCCCUAGUGAGUACAAUGUGUCAGUAAUAACGAACAUUUGAGUGGAACUUCCAAAUCAUUAUUUCUUUUAAUGCUCAAAAUAAUCUAUUUGAAGAAGACAAGCCUCACAAAAAGUGAAUAAUUUGGUUAAGGUCAAAUAGCUACUAAAAAACAAAUAGGAAUCUUGAACCUAGGUUCUCUGAAACCAAGUUACAUGAAUUUUUGUACACACAGUCACUGCCACUGCUUGACACCCCAAAGAUAAACUAAAGGUAUGAAUAUCAAGCCAAGUGGAGGAUAGAAUGUCUCAGGCAAAAUGGCAAAAGAAUCACUCAUGAAGGCAAUAGGCAAACUGUCUUGGGGGACACUAUGGCUGCUCAAGCAAUCAUUCAACAAAUGUUUAUUUAGAGUGUCUACUAUAUUCUAGGUGCUGAUUCAUCAUCUGCAUGUAAGAUAUAUUAGAUUUCAAUCAAUAAUACAUGUUAGGCUGAGGAAUAAAUGUUUUAAAUGAGAGCAAGAUACACUGAUAAAUGUUUCACAAGUCUAUUAACUUUAAUUGGAGUCUAAAAAAAGUUACUAAUAUAAAGAGAAGAAGAAAUAAAGGACACAGGAGGUAUAAAUAAAUUAAAUUUUGAAAAAAGGGCAGAAUUAAGUGUUAAAUCAGAGUGCCCCCAUUACAUUCAUAGUAGGUUGAGUAGGGUGAAGUCGGGCUGUAACAUUAAUCACUGUAAAUUCCUCUUUUAAAAAAAUCUUAAAGAGAGAUAUUGUGAGAAAGAUUUAUGGUGUAAUAGACCAAGCACAAGACCUAAGACUUUCCAAUCCUGACCCUGUCAUUUAGUAGUUUUGUGACCUUUAUCUACAGUGAAGCUAAUACUGGGUUGGGAUUACAUAAGGUCACACGUGUAAACGUGGCACCAAGUGAGCAUUUUUGUCAGAGCUCUUGCAACUGCAGGGGACAGAAAUAUAACCCCAAAGGUUAUUCAUUGGCUUGCAUGAAUAAAAUAAAAUGAGUGCUAGGGCUUUAGGUGUGUCUAGAGGCAAGACCUUGACUGCUGUCACCAGGAACACAGCUCUGUCCACCUCUUGGCUGUGCUCUCAUUUGUACUUUGUCCUCAGAUUGGCUCUUCCCUUGAGAGAACAAAUUGGCGGCUGGCAACUCUAGACUCAGUUCUUCACAGUUAAAGGGCUUUUUAACCAUAAUUCCACCCAAAUCCUUAAUAGUGCUCUCCUUGGCCUGGACUGGACCACGGGGCUACUUCUAAACCCAUCAUUCUGGAUAAGGCAAUUCACUGCUCUGAUUUGCCUGGCUUGGGUCAUAUGAGAUAAAGGCAGGCCUAACUGACCCAGAAACACUAAAGCAGAGAAGGAUGAUGCCCCAGAGGAACCCAGAAUGCUAUUGAGAGAAGGGGGAAUAUAAAAUGACAAAAGCAAACUAAACCCACCAGUAUAGGGGUUCUGUUAGUAUCUGUUGCCUCUGGAUCAGUUGUAUUUGGGUAUCAUGCUGCUGGAUAAACCAGAAAUAGAAUAUAGAACCCAACUUCUGUGCUCAUCAUGUUUUCUAAAUAAUGUUUCUUCUGUAAGAAAAUGUAAUAAUAAAAAUAAUACUGUUUCCUCUGAGCACAGAGAGCCCACUCAAAUAGCCUUGUGUUUUCAGGAAAAAAAAAUCAGUGCUAUGAAAAAUGCAUUUCUUGUUUGGCUCAUGAGCUAGGAAGAAGAUAUUGAAAUAUUAAUAUUUAGUGCAUGCACCUAGAAAUGACCCCGUAUGCAUAAAUAUGCCUUAGCAUCUCCAUUUAUACCUGUAUCAAGGGAAAAAAUUACAUUAUGAUAUACUGCUGUGAAGAAAUGAAAUGAAAUACCAGACAUAUAUUAAACUUAAAGAAUAGAAAUGAACCCACAACACAGGAAAAUUUGGAAUUUCACAUACUCCACUUUCCUUAAUACGGAUCCCUGUGCUUUCCUGUCUGUUUCUAUAUACUAGUUACAAACUUGGUUAUAUAUAAAAUUAAUAGCUUUUUUACCUUUCGCUUUGUCUAAAGAACUUGAUAAAGCAAGUCUCUCCCAUUUUAAAUACAACAUGUUUUUCUAUCUACCCAAGUUUCUCCCUUUCUUUACAGCUACAGUUCUAGAAAAGGCAGUCCACAGUGGCUGUUUCUAUUUUCUCACCCCUGCCC